GGGCCUAUAGCUCAGUUGGUUAGAGCAGAGGACUCAUAAUCCUUUGGUCCACGGUUCGAGUCCGUGUGGGCCCACCA
rnacentral:tRNA from 416 species